UGGGCAAGAUGUAUAAAUGCGUAGACAUCCGAAAAAGCAGUCUCCUGUUUACCGGCAGUGGUAUCUCUCAGUGGUGAAUUUAGGAUGACUUUUACUUUGAUCCUUACUCUGGCCUGUGUUGCUUGAACGUCCUACAAAAGGAGGUGUGGACUUCAUCUGGUGCUGUGAAGAGGCCUCUAGGAUGGAGCUGACGGAGCCUCUUGAGAAGCCCUGGGGAGCCCCAGCAUAGUGACGGGCGGAGGCCCCAGGGAUGGAAUUGCUGGAGGGUCGGCAGAAAGGCUUAAAUGAUGUGGAAGCAAAGACAGAGCCCAAGCAGUUUUAUGGCAAGAGAAAGGGCUGUGAUGAAGCAGAAUUUCCGGGUGAUUUGGCUGAGCUCUCCGCGAGGCUGCAUGGGAUUCCAUGUCCCAUUAUUAUUCAUAGAAUUCUUGCUAUCAUGGAACUUAUUGGGCCAUUGAAACAGCCUGGCUAACUGAUUGUUGUUUUGUGUUUUUGUUGUUGUUGUUGUUGUUGUUGAUUUUAUUUUUUAUUUUUAUUUAUUUUUUUGGUCAGCUUGGGACCUGCUGGGGAAAAGUAAAUACCAAGCUAACUUUCCCAAGGAAUGCCAUAGUCAUUGGAGGUGGGGGAGAAAUUCUUCCGCAGAACAUGUGAAAUCAUUAAGGUCCACAGGCUUGAUAACGUUGUCGUCGGAAGCAAGUCCAGGAUGUGAGAUGGGAAGGAGAGUAGAUGGACUCAUGAUGAAAGGACAGAAAUCAACUGCCAUCUUUUCCUGUUCUCCCAUUGCAGUGGCAGUGAUCACAGAGGAGAGAUGCCUAUGUUCACCUCUUCCACCUGGAUGGAUGCUGAGCUCUUAGAAAUUGACUUUCCAGGGGAUACAGAGGCUCAUGCCUAUAGUCCCAGAACUUUGGGAGGCCGAGGUGGAAGGAUGGCUAGAGGCCAGGAGUUUGAAGCUGCAGUGAGCUUGAGACCAGCUUGAGACUAGACCCUGUCUCUAUAAAAAAUGUUUAAUAAAAACUUAGCUGGGUAUAGUGGCAUGUAUCUGUAGUCCUAGCUACUUGGAAGGCUGACAUGAGAGGAUGGCUAUGUCCAGGAGUUCAAGGCUGCAGUGAGUGAGCUGUGAUUGCUUCACUGCACUUCAGCCUGGGUGACAAAGCAAGAUCCUGACUCAAAAAAAGCCAGGGGGAGUAGGAAUAAAAGAAAAGAAAGCAAUAGACUUUUCUCCCUCUCUAUUAGGCAAAAGCAGACUGGGGAUGGUUUUAGAAUCAAGGCAAGAAUAAAGACAUGUGGCUAAAAGACCUGCUGGAGGGGGAGAGGAUGUCCUCAGGAGAGACAG
rnacentral:lncRNA from 1 species